rnacentral:snRNA from 1 species
UGAAUUCAAUCCCUCAUUCUGAAAAAAAAAAAAACAAAAACAGAAGAUUAGCAUGGUCCCUGUGCAAGGAUGACACACAAAUUUGUGAAGCAUUCCAUGUUUAA